rnacentral:rRNA from 1 species
AGAGUUUGAUCCUGGCUCAGGACGAACGCUGGCGGGCGUGCUUACACAUGCAAGUCGAACGGGGUGAAGAGCUUCGGCUUUUCACUUAGUGGCGAACGGGUGAGUAACGCGUGAGAAACCUGCCUUUCCAGUGGGGGAUAACAGUUGGAAACGACUGCUAAUACCGCAUAAAGUACACGGACCGCAUGAUCUGUGUACCAAAGCUUUAAGUGCUGAAAGAUGGUCUCGCGUCUGAUUAGCUAGAUGGCGGGGUAACGGCCCACCAUGGCGACGAUCAGUAGCCGGUCUGAGAGGAUGAACGGCCACAUUGGGACUGAGAUACGGCCCAGACUCCUACGGGAGGCAGCAGUGGGGAAUAUUGGGCAAUGGGGGAAACCCUGACCCAGCAACGCCGCGUGAAGGAAGAAGGCCUUCGGGUUGUAAACUUCUUUUAGCAGGGACGAAGAACGUGACGGUACCUGCCAGAAAAAGCAACGGCUAACUACGUGCCAGCAGCCGCGGU